rnacentral:tRNA from 1 species
GGGGCGGUGGCGGAAUUGGCAGACGCAGGGGACUUAAAAUCCCCCGGUUCACACCAUGUGGGUUCGAGUCCCUCCCGCCCUA